CUUUUACUCCCUUCGUCCGAAAAUACUUGUCAUCACUGUAGAUACAUCUUUUUUUAUUCAUUUUGAUGACAAGUAUUUUCGGGCGGAGGAAGUACUUU
rnacentral:pre_miRNA from 1 species